rnacentral:rRNA from 1 species
AACGAACGCUGGCGGCAUGCUUAACACAUGCAAGUCGAACGUGAUCCGGAGCUUGCUCCGGUGAAAGUGGCGCACGGGUGAGUAACGCGUGGGAACCUGCCCAGAGGUAGGGAAUAACCGCGGGAAACUGCGGCUAAUACCCUAUAUUCCCUUCGGGGGAAAGAUUUAUCGCCUUUGGAUGGGCCCGCGUCGGAUUAGCUAGUUGGUGAGGUAACGGCUCACCAAGGCGACGGUCCGUAGCUGGUCUGAGAGGAUGAUCAGCCACACUGGGACUGAGACACGGCCCAGACACCUACGGGAGGCAGCAGUGGGGAAUAUUGGACAAUGGGCGCAAGCCUGAUCCAGCAAUGCCGCGUGAGUGAUGAAGGCCUUAGGGUUGUAAAGCUCUUUCGGCGGGGAAGAUGAUGACGGUACCCGCAGAAGAAGCCCCGGCUAACUUCGUGCCAGCCGCCGCAGUAAGAC